GACGUAGGGCGCAAGCGUUGUCCGGAUUUAUUGGGCGUAAAGAGCUCGUAGGCGGCUCGUUGCGUCGGCUGUGAAAACCCGCAGCUCAACUGUGGGCUUGCAGCUGAUACGGGCGGGCUGGAGUUCGGUAGGGGAGACUGGAAUUCCUGGUGUAGCGGUGAAAUGCGCAGAUAUCAGGAAGAACACCAAUGGCGAAAGCAGCUCUCUGGGACGGUACUGACGCUGAGACGCGAAAGCGUGGGGAGCGAACAGG
rnacentral:rRNA from 1 species